rnacentral:rRNA from 1 species
UACGGAGGGGGCUAGCGUUGUUCGGAAUUACUGGGCGUAAAGCGCACGUAGGUGGCUUUGUAAGUUAGAGGUGAAAGCCCGGGGCUCAACUCCGGAAUUGCCUUUAAGACUGCAUCGCUAGAACGUCGGAGAGGUAAGUGGAAUUCCGAGUGUAGAGGUGAAAUUCGUAGAUAUUUGGGAAGAACACCGAUGGCGAAGGCAGCCAUCUGGACCGACACUGACGCGUGAGG